ensembl:lncRNA
CCCUCCCCUCUCCCUCCUAUCUCUAACACACAUGGUGGCAGUACUAUACUCCACCUCCCAAAGGAAUAGUGUUUAACUCGCUGACAAGAAGGGUUUAAGGCCGGGGACGGGGUGUACGUGCGUGUGCACGUGCGUGUGUGUGGUGCGGGUGGGGGCGGGGAGGGUAAAUUGUUUAGUGUUUCUGUGCUGACUCCACAUAUGAUCCCCAUUAGCUAACAGGGCGUUUGCUAACACAGACACACACACGGUAAGGGGUGAUUUUAAUCCGGUGUUAACCAUAAUGGAUCCAAUCGAGCUGUUGGACAGUAACCGUAGCUACCGCGGACAUCCCAGACACCAAUACUGGCCUGCUCUCCUCCAUUGGGUUCUAUUCUGAUGAUGAACACGGGUGAUAAUGGCAGUGGUCCCACGUCACCUUCUGAGAUAACAUGGGACGCUUUCCUGACAGACGUAGGAUUGGCUCUCCCGAAACGUACACUUUACAACUGAUCUGAAGAUAUCUGCGUUUUGGCAUGACGACGCCCCCUGUGUUGUUCAGCUGGCUUAGAGUGGAGGGUGAGGAUUGCCACCCCUGUUCUACUGGCGCAGUGUUUAUGCCCCCUAUCCGCCUUGAGAAGUCACUUCAUAGUCAUAAUCUCAUUAUGCAUAGCGCAAUCCUUCUUUAGAAGGAGAUGGAAGAAGCGGCUGGGCUGGGGAUUUUGUCUGGGUAUAUCGUUGGGGGGGUGGGGGAGCAGGGUUCCCUUUUCUAAAUGUUUUGGGGUCUUCUGUUAUGGGUACCGUAUCCUUUGUUUUUUUACAAUAAAAGUUUUAAUUGUACAUUUGUGUCUAUCAACAAAAAACUUUAUUGACUUAGCUAGCAGUGCUUAUAUAUCUAACCGUGCAGCAGAUUUACUAUACCAUGUUUUAC